AGCGUGGAGACAGGUGGUGCAUGGCUGUCGUCAGCUCGUGUCGUGAGAUGUUGGGUUAAGUCCCGCAACGAGCGCAACCCUCACCCCUUGUUGCUACCAGGUAAAGCUGGGCACUCUAGGGGAACUGCCCCGGUCAACGGGGAGGAAGGCGGGGAUGACGUCAAGUCAUCAUGCCCCUUACGCCCUGGGCUACACACGUGCUACAAUGGCCGGUACAAAGGGAUGCGACGCCGUGAGGCAGAGCCAAACCCAAAAAGCCGGUCUAAGUUCAGAUUGGAGUCUGCAACUCGACUCCAUGAAGGAGGAAUCGCUAGUAAUCGCGUAUCAGCACGACGCGGUGAAUACGUUCCCGGGCCUUGUACACACCGCCCGUCACACCACGAAAGCCAGCUGUACUCGAAGUCGCUGAG
rnacentral:rRNA from 1 species